AGACAGGCCGCCUCCCCACCAGCACAGAGGGGGUUCAGAGUCCUGCGCACAUGCUGUGAUGCGAACAUCCCUGGAACUGAAGUCUCACAGUGUCACACCCAUCAGAAUCUAAAAGUGUUCGUGGAAACACAUUCUACCCUAUGAGCCCACCAGGAGCUCUCUUCCCAGAGGCAGAUCAGGAUACUCUCUUUUCAGAUGCAGACUCACAUACUGGAUUUUCACAGCAGCUUAAAGGAAAACGAGGUAUUUCGAGGUCCUGCUCACACCUCUGCUGGAGGCGGACAAAGGAGGUAUUGAUGCCACUACCCAGGAUCGGACACAAACGGGACACACCAGAGCACAGCCCGAAAACACGCGCGGCAGGCAGGCCCACGGCCCAGAGCACGAAGACAUACGAGGACGACCUGUCCCAAAUGAGUCCUCCCAAGCCUCAUUUCCACCAUGUCUUCCUUUACGGUGGGCCCAGCUGCUGAGUGGACUUCCCCCCGUCGCAUUUUCAGAGAGAACUGAAUUUUACCUUCCCUCCUGCCCUGGUCCCGCCUCCCCAGUGCUGAGGACCACAGACCUCAGCCACUCCCACUGCCUCAAAAGCACCCUGAGAUCUAACUCUGAGCGCUGGCCCCACACCUGUCUCUCCAGGUCUUGUUCCUGCUCCACACAGCGCCCCUCCAGACACUGACUUCCCUGUCGCCCCGUGGCAGAGAGACACAGCGAGAGAGGGAACACAAGCCGGGAGAGUGGGAGAGGAAGAGGCAGGCUUCCCGCUGAGCAGGGAGCCCGAUGCAGGGCUCGAUCCCAGGACCCUGGGAUCAUGACCUGAGCCGAAGGCAGACGCCUAACAACUGAGACACCCAGGCGUCCAGACUAAUGUUACGUCCACAGGAUAAGGUGAUGCCAGAUCGGCCUCUACAUAAACCUCUCCGACAGACAGCGCCCAGCGCCGGGGCCUCACCCUGAGCCCCUUACCUGGGGCUGAUGGAGCCUCAAUCCCAAC